GAUGAACGCUGGCGGCGUGCCUAAUACAUGCAAGUCGAGCGAAUGGAUUAAGAGCUUGCUCUUAUGAAGUUAGCGGCGGACGGGUGAGUAACACGUGGGUAACCUGCCCAUAAGACUGGGAUAACUCCGGGAAACCGGGGCUAAUACCGGAUAACAUUUUGAACCGCAUGGUUCGAAAUUGAAAGGCGGAUUCGGCUGUCACUUAUGGAUGGACCCGCGUCGCAUUAGCUAGUUGGUGAGGUAACGGCUCACCAAGGCAACGAUGCGUAGCCAACCUGAGAGGGUGAUCGGCCACACUGGGACUGAGACACGGCCCAGACUCCUACGGGAGGCAGCAGUAGGGAAUCUUCCGCAAUGGACGAAAGUCUGACGGAGCAACGCCGCGUGAGUGAUGAAGGCUUUCGGGUCGUAAAACUCUGUUGUUAGGGAAGAACAAGUGCUAGUUGAAUAAGCUGGCACCUUGACGGUACCUAACCAGAAAGCCACGGCUAACUACGUGCCAGCCGCCGCGGUAA
rnacentral:rRNA from 1 species